rnacentral:misc_RNA from 1 species
AUUUACGUGAAGGAUAGCAAUGAAAAGCCCACAGUGAGGUACGAACGAGGACUUGCAAUGGAUAGCCUGACCAUUU